rnacentral:rRNA from 1 species
UACAGAGGGUGCGAGCGUUAAUCGGAAUUACUGGGUGUAAAGGGCGCGUAGGCGGCGAGAUAUGUGUGAUGUGAAAGCCCCGGGCUUAACCUGGGAAGCGCAUUGCAAACUGUCUGGCUAGAGUAUAUGAGAGGGUGGCGGAAUUUCCGGUGUAGCGGUGAAAUGCGUAGAGAUCGGAAGGAACGUCAAUGGCGAAGGCAGCCACCUGGCAUAAUACUGACGCUGAGGCGCGAAAGCGUGGGGAGCGAACAGG